rnacentral:rRNA from 1 species
UACAGAGGGGCAAGCGUUGUUCGGAAUUACUGGGCGUAAAGGGCGCGUAGGCGGCCUUCUAAGUCGAACGUGAAAUCCCCGGGCUCAACCCGGGAACUGCGUCCGAUACUGGAAGGCUUGAAUCCGGGAGAGGGAUGUGGAAUUCCGAGGUGUAGCGGUGAAAUGCGGUAGAUAUCUGGAGGAACACCGGUGGCGAAGGACGACAUCCUGGACCGGUAUUGACGCUGAGGCGCGAAAGCCAGGGAGCAACGGG